ACCCGCUGAUCCGAACAGUCGCCGUAUGGUGCGCGUGCCUGCAAUCGCAGGCUAGGGCAGCGGGUCGCC
rnacentral:sRNA from 12 species